rnacentral:rRNA from 1 species
UGGUGACUAUAGCAAGGAGGUCACACCUGUUCCCAUGCCGAACACAGAAGUUAAGCUCCUUAGCGAUAUUGCCGGCCUAGCUCAAUUGGUAGAGCA